CGGAGAUCCAGGCUCCAGAAACAGAGGAAUUUCAGGCUUCAGGAUUUCAGAGGCCAAAUUCCAUCUGGCCUAGUCUGCCUGGCUCACGAUAAGAAAACCGAAGUUCACCAAAGUAAAGUGACUUGUCCAAGACCUCACAGCUAUCAAGUAGAGAAACUGGGAUUUGGAUGCAGGUCUGUCUGACUCCAGACACCGCGAUCUUAACCAUCGAGGCAGAGUUUCUACCUUUUAGGAAUUUCCAAAUAGAGGAGACAACCUCAGGACUUGAACAAUGCAGAAACACAGUCAAAAAUACAAAGAGCUAGGGAGUGAUGCCUAUAUUGUGCUGUGAGGGUUAAUAUCGCUUCCUGUCAAAGGACAAUCUAA
rnacentral:lncRNA from 1 species